UUCAGAGCCUGGAUCUCCUUGACCAGGGAGCUGAAGGAAUUGGAUUGUUCCUUGGUCUUCUGAGCUACAGCCAUGUGAGUGGAGGUGGGAGUGAAGAGAUGCACAACCUGGAGGUUUCUGAAAAGUGGGCGCUCUGCUAGGAGAAGAGAACUUCCACAGUGAAAUUGCCUAUGUCAUGGGACAGCUCUGGAUCUCUCAAGGCCCUGUCACCCAAGUACAGCCAUUGCCUCUGUCCUUUUCCUAUUGCCAGCCUUCUGUCACUGGAGGAUAUGGAGUGAUUCUAACCCUCUUGACAUCUGCUCAAGAUGAGUGUGGCUGCUUGGAGCAGUGGGACAUGAAGUGCCUUUGACUGUGGUCGUAGCCAUCCAUCAUGAACUGUCAAAAUGAGCUUCCUAAUACGC
rnacentral:lncRNA from 1 species